rnacentral:rRNA from 1 species
GACGAACGCUGGCGGCGUGCUUAACACAUGCAAGUCGAACGGAAAGGCCCUGCUUGCAGGGUCCUCGAGUGGCGAACGGGUGAGUAACACGUGGGUGAUCUGCCCUGCACUUCGGGAUAAGCUUGGGAAACUGGGUCUAAUCCCUGAUAGGAGCCAUCUUUAGUGUGGUGGUUGGAAAGUUUUUUCGGUGUAGGAUGAGCUCGCGGCCUAUCAGCUUGUUGGUGGGGUAAUGGCCUACCAAGGCUGCGACGGGUAGCUGGCCUGAGAGGGUGUACGGCCACAUUGGGACUGAGAGACGGCCCAGACUCCUACGGGAGGCAGCAGUGGGGAAUAUUGGACAAUGGGCGCAAGCCUGAGGCAGCGACGCCGCGUGGGGGAUGAAGGCCUUCGGGUUGUAAACACCUUUCGCUAGGGACGAAGCUUUGUUGUGACGGUACCUAGAUAAGAAGCACCGGCUAACUACGUG